rnacentral:tRNA from 1 species
GCGGGAAUGGCGGAAUUGGCAGACGCGCUAGUUUCAGGUACUAGUGAUCAGGAGGUCAUGCAGGUUCAAGUCCUGUUUCCCGCACCA